AACGCAACUUGCGCCCUAUUAGGGCAUGUCUGUUUGAGUACCGCAAUCUUCUGCAGCAAUGCGAAUUGAUCAUGGCGUUGGGCCUUGAUUUAAAGGUAGAAUGCUUGUUCGAGCCUUGGGUUUGGAACUGUGUGCCAGAGACGCGAGUCUUCUCAUAGUCCAGCUCAGGAUGCUAGAGCCUAUAUUCUUUAUUUUGGUCUCAAAUCAGGCAAGACUACCCGCUGAACUUAA
rnacentral:misc_RNA from 1 species